ensembl:lncRNA
UUUUUUGUUGUGAUUUCUGAGACUCCGCGGGCUUAAGAGCCAUUGGCUAGGAGUUUCAGGCGUCCACACGAAACCAAAACGAAACCGGGUAGAUUUGAAACCACCUCCGAGGGUGGUUUCAGAAGUUUGCGGUUUCGGUCAGCGGAUUCGCCGGCUUCGUGUGGACGGAAGGCCGAACCGUACAAGACCUUUGCGGUUUCGCCAUGAAAUCGGCUUCGUGUGGACGGGGCCUUAGAGGUGACGCUGGGAAACUGGGAAAAAAGGCCAGUAUUACUGGAGCUGUGCGCAGAGCUGCGGCCGGCCCUAGAGCGCCACACAGCCAGGAGCCAGGGGUUGUCCGUGCCCACACAGGUGCUGACCACGCUGGGGUUCCUGGCAACAGGGGCCUUCCAGCGGGAGCUGGC